UACGGAGGGGCGAGCGUUAUUCGGAAUUAUUGGGCGUAAAGGGCGCGUAGGCGGCCCUGUAAGUCAAAGGUGAAAUCCCUCGGCUCAACUGAGGAACUGCCUUUGAAACUGACAGGCUUGAGGCCGGGAGGGGAGUGGAAUUCCGCGUGUAGCAGUGAAAUGCGUAGAUAUGCGGAGGAACACCGAUGGCGAAGGCAAUCCCUGGACCUGUACUGACGCUCAUGCACGAAGCGUGGGAGCAACAGG
rnacentral:rRNA from 1 species